rfam:Prevotella sp. CAG:1320 genomic scaffold, scf117
GGGGUUGACUGGAUUUGACGGCGAGAUGAAAUGGUAUGUAAGCAUGCGGAGCCUCGUUGGCUAGCUCCAUAAUCUGAGUGAACGAACUAUAAUUGGCGAAAGAAAUUACGCUCUCGCUGCCUAAGUUGAAGUAUAGUAGACUGGCUUAAUCCCGUCACAAGGUGAUGGGACGAGACAUCGCUCAAGGGAUGUUGUUCCGAAUCUUCUUGAUCAAGCGGUGCAGAUAAAUCGGAAAUAGUCAGGGUAUGCCCCGCUGCCUUGAUGAAAUUUAAGGGGAUAAGGUGUCGGUUGAUGGUCCGGGUUCUGCCGCCACACGAAAACCAAAGGCCGGAAUAAGCAUGUAGAAAGCGUAUGGUUUCCUUGUUCGGACGUGGGUUCGAAUCCCACCAGCUCCACUG